UACGGGGGGAGCAAGCGUUGUUCGGAUUUACUGGGCGUAAAGGGCGCGUAGGCGGCAAUUCAAGUCAGCUGUGAAAUCUCCGGGCUUAACUCGGAACGGUCAGCUGAUACUGCUUUGCUAGAGUGCAGAAGGGGCAAUCGGAAUUCUCGGUGUAGCGGUGAAAUGCGUAGAUAUCGAGAGGAACACCUGAGGUGAAGACGGGUUGCUGGGCUGACACUGACGCUGAAGCGCGAAAGCCAGGGGAGCAAACGGG
rnacentral:rRNA from 1 species